CUGCCUCCAUGUCUUUAACUUGGUUAUCCUCCAUUCCAGAAAUGUACUCACUCUUCACUUUUGCUUCCUGGAACCUCUGGUUUCCUUCCAAGCUCAGCUCAAGAAGUAUAAGAAAUGUUUCUUAAUCUCUUCCCUCCCCUCAAUUGCUAAGUUUCUCCCUCUUCCCUGAAACUAUCUUUUAUUUAUUUUGUGCAUAAUUCAUAUGUAACAAGAUAUCAAUGAAGAGCAGAACUUCUUCUUCCUUCUUCUUCUUCUUUCUUCUUCUUUCUUCUUCUUCUUCUUUCUUCUUCUUCUUUCUUCUUCUUUCUUCUUCCUUCUUCUUCUUCUUCUUCUUCUUCUUCUUCUUCUUCUUCUUCUUCUUCUUCUUCUUCUUCUUCUUCUUCUUCUUCUUCUUCUUCUUCUUCUUCUUCUUCUUCUUCUUCUUCUUCUUCUUCUUCUUCUUCUUCUUCUUCUUCUUCUUCUUCUUCUUCUUCUUCUUCUUCUUCUUCUUCUUCUUCUUCUUCUUCUUUGAAAAAGAUGAUUUGCUCAAAGCUUAGAAAGUGUCUGAGCUAGAACUUGAAGCAACAUCUUUCUGGCUCCCAUGUCCAAUACUGUAUGCAUUACACCAUGAUAUUUAUCAAACUCUAGUCCUCAAUCCAAAUUUCAGAGUUCGUUUCUCUGCUCCCUGAUGCCUCCUCAAAGAACAGGUCAAAAUGAUGGAUUAAGUUGAAGUAUUGGAAUAUCAUAGUUAUGCCUGACAUUAUAAUCUCUCCAAGGUAGCUCUUGAGGAGAUGAGCUGGAGGCUGUGUUCCUUUUGGGUAGUCUUUGAGAACCUUGGUUUACCACAAUAGUCAGUUCCCUGAGGUAUAUUCUCUGUUUGCCCAUUGUCCUUGCCCAUAACUAGAUCUAGUCCUUUUUCCUUAAUCAACGGUUCAAACACAGUCUUAAUCAUGUCUUCUAAGUUGGUAUCCAUGGGCAUAAUCUUUUCUGCCUUAAGGGGAACCACAAAUCUGAACACUUUCUUCACUUGAGUCAGAGUCUGCAACAUAGCCAUAAAGAGCCCAUACACUUAUGCCAGGAUUUGCCAGAGUACCAACUCAUGUUGAAAUGGCAACUGCAAAAUAGACAUUGUAAUGUUGCCUACAUAAUCCAAAGUUUCCACUACCAUAUGGGUAAGCUUGCUGUAUAAAAUAUGGUAUACCCCAAAACAGGCAAUGGCUGCCACAAUCACAACUCCAAAAACCACUUGUCUGAACAUUUUGUCUAUCUUCCUUUAAUAGGGAUCUGUAGGGUUCAGUCAAACUUGAGGUGCCAAUUGUAAUAGCAAAUACAAAACCACUAAGGUCUCUCAGCUUAACUCCAGAGUUUCCCCCUCAAGGGUCCUUCAGCCUGGGACAGAGGCUAAUAAUAUUAGCUCUCAGCUUCUUCCCCCUUCAGCCAGGCUUGCUCCCUUUGGUCAGAAAAAUCCAGAGCCAAGGUCUCCUUUCUUGAUCAGUCAACCCCCAGAGAGAGAGACAGAAACAGUCCCCAGUUUCUCUCCCUGGCCAGCUUCAACUG
rnacentral:lncRNA from 1 species